rnacentral:misc_RNA from 1 species
AACGCACCUUGCACCGUAUGAGCAAUCGUACGGUAUACCUGUUUGAGAAUCGUAAAACCCUCUUUCUACUACCCUUUGGGGUUUGUGGAAGAUUUGUUGGUUGUGCACCUCGGUGUACUCUGAUUAAAAGGAUCAAGUCUGGAUUUGGCUGGUGGCCAAGGACACUGUGUGCUAGAGACGUCGCUUCGGCUGACUGUCUUCUCACAGUGCGUCCUGGGCUAUUCAAAGCUGGUCUCAUCCUAGACUUUUCAGUGUGCCUAAAAACCACACAACCUUUUUUUUGAUCUCAAAUCAGGUAAGGCUACCCGCUGAACUUAA